GCACUGAUGGUGUAAUGGUAACAUCGAAGCUUCCCAUGCUUUGGCCCCGGAUUCGAUUUCCGGUCAGUGCA
rnacentral:tRNA from 5 species